rnacentral:rRNA from 1 species
UACGGAUGGUGCAAGCGUUGCUCGGAAUCACUGGGCGUAAAGCGAACGCAGGCGGACUUUUAAGUCGGGUGUGAAAGCCCCGGGCUCAACCCGGGAACUGCACUCGAAACUGGAAGUCUUGAGUUCGAGAGAGGGUGGUGGAAUUCCUGGUGUAGAGGUGAAAUUCGUUGAUAUCAGGAGGAACAUCGGCGGCGAAGGCGGCCACCUGGCUCGAUACUGACGCUCAUGUUCGAAAGCGUGGGGAGCAAACAGG